GACGAACGCUGGCGGCGUGCUUAACACAUGCAAGUCGAACGGUAAAGCCCUUCGGGGUGGAUCAGUGGCGAACGGGUUAGUAACACGUGAGCAACCUGCCCCUGGCCCUCGUACAACCACUGGAAACCGUAGCUAAUCCCGGAUACGUCCCGCCUCCGCCUCGCGGGUGGGUGCAAGGGGUUUCCGCAGGUGGUGGGCUCGCGGGCAAUCAGCUCGUUUGUGGAGUGAGGGCGCACCAAGGCCCCGCCAGGCAGCCGACCUGAGAGGGCGGCCGGCCACACUGGGACUGAGACACGGACCAGACUGCUACGGGGGACAGCAGUGGGGAAUAUUGCACAAUGGGCGAAAGCCUGAGGCAGCGACGCCGCGUGAGGGAUGACGGCCUUCGGGUUGUAAACCUCUGUCAGCUCCGAAGAAGCGAAAGUGACGGUAGGAGCAGAAGAAGCACCGGCUAACUACGUG
rnacentral:rRNA from 1 species